UUUACAUCAGAGUGCACGCUUUACAUUUUCAACCAAUUAGGAGAAGGACAGCUGGGAGGAGCUUGAUAAUCGGGAUCAAAUUCGGGAGAUUGACAACAAUCUGUCCAAUAAGAACCGUUUAAGCGUGUUAGUAACUUUAGAUGGUCCAAUUACGUUUUAGAUCUACCGUCUCCAUUCUAACUAAUGGACUACAGUUGUAGCUGGUGUUCAUAACUCUCUCCUCAGCGUGUCAUUGAAACAGGGCUAUAUCACUGCCAUAAACAUCAAACAAAGUAUUUAUUUCGGAAGUAUAUUAUACCCUUAAAUUAAACUAGCUAUGGCUGAUACCGCAGUGGAGACGACCACAACCACCGAGAUUUCAGCAAAGGAGCUCAAAGAGAAGAAAGAGGUUGCCGAGGAGGUGGUGGAGAAGGAGAACGGCAGUGGGGACGCACCUGGCAAGGAAACACACACAAAUGGUGCAGAGGAGACAAAUGGUGCAGAGGGGAAGACAAAUGGUGCAAUUCAUUCUGAAGUAACGCCAGAGGUUGAAGAGGAUGGAGAGGGAGAGGAUGCAGCUGAAGAUGCAGAAGAAGCUGCUGAGGUUGACCACCCUGUGAAACGCCCAGCUGAGGAGGAGGUACAGUUUUGUCCGAUUUUAAACCCGUCAAUAUACAAUGGUCUCACAGUAAAAGUUGAGCCAUCUUUAUUACUGUUUUAA
ensembl:lncRNA prothymosin alpha-like